rnacentral:rRNA from 1 species
CAUUACUGAGUUUACGCUCUAUAACCCUUUGUGAACAUACCUAUAACUGUUGCUUCGGCGGGCAGGGUCUCCGUGACCCUCCCGGCCUCCCGCCCCCGGGCGGGUCGGCGCCCGCCGGAGGAUAACCAAACUCUGAUUUAACGACGUUUCUUCUGAGUGGUACAAGCAAAUAAUCAAAACUUUUAACAACGGAUCUCUUGGUUCUGGCAUCGAUGAAGAACGCAGCGAAAUGCGAUAAGUAAUGUGAAUUGCAGAAUUCAGUGAAUCAUCGAAUCUUUGAACGCACAUUGCGCCCGCCAGCAUUCUGGCGGGCAUGCCUGUUCGAGCGUCAUUUCAACCCUCAAGCUCUGCUUGGUGUUGGGGCCCUACAGCUGAUGUAGGCCCUCAAAGGUAGUGGCGGACCCUCCCGGAGCCUCCUUUGCGUAGUAACUUUACGUCUCGCACUGGGAUCCGGAGGGACUCUUGCCGUAAAACCCCCCAAUUUUCCAAAGGUUGACCUCGGAUCAGGUAGGAAUACCCGCUGAACUUAAGCAUAUCAAUAAGCGGAGGAAAAGAAACCAACAGGGAUUGCCUCAGUAACGGCGAGUGAAGCGGCAACAGCUCAAAUUUGAAAUCUGGCCCUAGGCCCGAGUUGUAAUUUGCAGAGGAUGCUUUUGGUGCGGUGCCUUCCAAGUUCCCUAGAACGGGACGCCAGAGAGGGUGAGAGCCCCGUACAGUUGGACACCAAGCCUUUGUAAAGCUCCUUCGACGAGUCGAGUAGUUUGGGAAUGCUGCUCAAAAUGGGAGGUAUAUUUCUUCUAAAGCU